UACGAAGGGGGCUAGCGUUGUUCGGAAUUACUGGGCGUAAAGCGCACGUAGGCGGAUUGUUAAGUCAGAGGUGAAAUCCCGGAGCUCAACUUCGGAACUGCCUUUGAUACUGGCAAUCUAGAGUCCGGAAGAGGUUAGUGGAAUUCCCAGUGUAGAGGUGAAAUUCGUAGAUAUUGGGAAGAACACCAGUGGCGAAGGCGGCUAACUGGUCCGGUACUGACGCUGAGGUGCGAAAGCGUGGGUAGCAAACAGG
rnacentral:rRNA from 1 species